rnacentral:rRNA from 1 species
GACAGAGGUGCCAAGCGUUAGGCGGAAUCACUGGGCUUAAAGCGUGUGUAGGCGGAUGCCUAAGUACCUUGUGAAAUCCCAACGGCUCAACCGUGGAACUGCUUGGUAUACUGGGUGUCUUGAGCCAUCUAGGGGCUACCGGAACAAAUGGUGGAGCGGUGAAAUGCGUAGAUAUCAUUUGGAACGCCAAUGGUGAAAACAGGUAGCUGGGGAUGUGCUGACGCUGAGACACGAAAGCCAGGGGAGCAAACGGG